UAGUUACCUAUGAGGCUGGUAGUGAAAGGUGGGACUGUGUUUAGUUAGUUACCUAUGAGGCUGGUAGUGAAAGGUGGGACUGUGUUUAGUUAGUUACCUAUGAGGCUGGUAGUGAAAGGUGGGACUGUGUUUAGUUAGUUACCUAUGAGGCUGGUAGUGAAAGGUGGGACUGUGUUUAGUUAGUUACCUAUGAGGCUGGUAGUGAAAGGUGGGACUGUGUUUAGUUAGUUACCUAUGAGGCUGGUAGUGAAAGGUGGGACUGUGUUUAGUUAGUUACCUAUGAGGCUGGUAGUGAAAGGUGG